rnacentral:rRNA from 1 species
UACGUAGGGAGCGAGCGUUGUCCGGAAUCAUUGGGCGUAAAGAGCAUGUAGGUGGAUCAAUUAGUCUGCUGUGAAAGUCAAAGGCUCAACCUUUGAAAGCCGGUGGAUACUGUUGAUCUAGAGUACGGAAGAGGCGAGUGGAAUUCCUGGUUGUAGCGGUGGAAUGCGCAGAUAUCAGGAGGAACACCAAUGGCGAAGGCAGCUCGCUGGGACGUACUGACGCUGAGACGCGAAAGCGUGGGGAGCAAACAGG